rnacentral:rRNA from 1 species
GUCGAACGCCCUCUUCGGAGGGAGUGGCGCACGGGUGCGUAACACGUGGGAACCUGCCUUUAGGUCCGGAAUAACAGUUAGAAAUGACUGCUAAUGCCGGAUAAUGUCUUCGGACCAAAGAUUUAUUGCCUUUAGAUGGGCCCGCGUUGGAUUAGCUUGUUGGUGGGGUAACGGCCUACCAAGGCGACGAUCCAUAGCUGGUCUUAGAGGAUGAUCAGCCACACUGGGACUGAGACACGGCCCAGACUCCUACGGGAGGCAGCAGUGGGGAAUAUUGGACAAUGGGCGAAAGCCUGAUCCAGCAAUGCCGCGUGAGUGAUGAAGGCCUUAGGGUUGUAAAGCUCUUUUACCAGGGAUGAUAAUGACAGUACCUGGAGAAUAAGCUCCGGCUAACUCCGUGCCAGCAGCCGCGGUAAUACGGAGGGAGCUAGCGUUGUUCGGAAAUACUGGGCGUAAAGCGCACGUAGGCGGUCUGUCGCGUCGGAUGUGAAAACCCAGGGCUCAACCCUGGGCCUGCAUUCGAUACGGGCAGACUAGAAUUCGGUAGGGGAGACUGGAAUUCCUGGUGUAGCGGUGAAAUGCGCAGAUAUCAGGAGGAACACCGGUGGCGAAGGCGGGUCUCUGGGCCGAUAUUGACGCUGAGGAGCGAAAGCGUGGGGAGCGAACAGGAUUAGAUACCCUGGUAGUCCACGCCGUAAACGUUGGGCGCUAGGUGUGGGGGACAUUCCACGUUCUCCGUGCCGCAGCUAACGCAUUAAGCGCCCCGCCUGGGGAGUACGGCCGCAAGGCUAAAACUCAAAGGAAUUGACGAGGGCCCGCACAAGCGGCGGAGCAUGUGGCUUAAUUCGACGCAACGCGAAGAACCUUACCAAGGCUUGACAUAUAGGGAAAUCUCACAGAGAUGUGAGGUCCGCAAGGGUCCUGUACAGGUGGUGCAUGGUUGUCGUCAGCUCGUGUCGUGAGAUGUUGGGUUAAGUCCCGCAACGAGCGCAACCCUUGUCCUAUGUUGCCAGCGAGUAAUGUCGGGGACUCAUAGGAGACUGCCGGGGUCAACUCGGAGGAAGGUGGGGAUGACGUCAAAUCAUCAUGCCCCUUAUGUCUUGGGCUGCACACAUGCUACAAUGGCCAGUACAAAGGGCUGCUAAACCGUGAGGUGGAGCGAAUCCCAAAAAGCUGGUCUCAGUUCGGAUUGGGGUCUGCAACUCGACCCCAUGAAGUCGGAGUCGCUAGUAAUCGCAGAUCAGCAACGCUGCGGUGAAUAC